UCCCUAUGUCAUUGUUUAUCCUGAUUCCUGCCCUAGCCUCCACCAUUUCUCCUCCUCUCUUCUGCUCUAUCUGUGACUGUCCCUCCUUCUCCCCAUGAGCUCCAGCUCCGCAGUCUGCUGAGACCAGGCAGCCUACUUCCUACCGAGAUUUGAAGGCAGAGAAAACCAAGUAUCUAGAAGAGGAGGCAGUGGAUUGGAGCAGAUAUCCUCAAAGGACAACGUCCCAAAACAUACAGCCAAUGUCAUUAAGAACUAUCUUCAGCAUAAACAAGAACAAGGAGUCCUGGAACUCAUGAUAAUGGCACCACAGAGCCUUGAUCUCAACAUCUUCGAGUUUGUCUGGGAUUACAUGAAGAGACAGAAGGAUUUGAGCAAGCCUAUAUCCACAGAAGAUCUGUGGUUAGUUCUCCAAGAUGUUUAGGACAACCUCCCUGCCAAGUUCCUUCAAAAACUGUGUGCAAGUGUACCUAGAAUUGAUGCUGUUGUGAAGGCAAAGGGUGGUUACACAAAAUAUUGAUUUGAUUUGGUUUUCUCUUCUGUUCAUUCACUUUGCAUUUUGUUAAUUGAUAAAAAUAAACUAUUAACACUUCUA